UGGCGGUCUCAGGCAAUUACUCAUUAUGAUUAGUUCUAUGCUGGGCCUGGCCCAAUCACAUACACAGCAGAGGGCCGAGGUCCCGCCCUUGGGUCUCGGCUGUCAAUCAGUCACGUCACGUCACUUAUUGACACUGACAGAAAAAUGGAGAAAAAACGGAAAGGAGGCGCGGAGAAAGUCCGAGAUAAAAAGAGAAAAGCCCUAGAGGCAAACUCUGCAACAUGUGCUAAAAUAUCGGACAUGUUUGCCGCGACAGCUGGCCCGGCUUCAUUAGCACCUGCUUCGGUGGAAAUUGCGACGGCGGAGGCUGAGGAGGAUGACGGUGAUGAUGUGGACGGAGAGGUGACUGAAUGGAGGCCGAGGCCAAGUGCAGAGAUGGGUGGCGCUGGCGGCGGCCCGGCCCCGGGGCCGAGCUCAGCCUCAGACGAAGUGGCGGCGGUAAUUUUUGGAGUGAAGGAUUGCCUUCCCAUGAUGUGGAGUUCACGUGUGUUCUUUUUGUUUCAUUGUGAGUUUACUAAAUAGCUCUUAUUUUAAUUAUAGAAUAGACAGUAUCAGAUGAAUCUAUCAUAUCUGACUGCUCCUUUCUGUCUCCCUCAGAGCACCAAGGUCCAUGCAGCCUUUUGUCUCAGCAUAUGUAAGUACAAAAUUAGCUAUUAUCUCUCUGUUCACCUAAAGAUUAUUUAAACUAUACCUUAACUGAUCCCUGCUCUUUCUUUCCUUUGUCUGCCUCUCUCUCUCUCUCUCUCUCUCUCUCUCUCUCUCUCUCUCUCUCUCUCUCUCUCUCUCUCUCUCUCUCUCUCUCUCUCUCUCUCUCUCUCUCUCUCUCAUACUUUAGGGUGCCACUUUUACUUACUGUGUUAUAAUUUGGUGUGUUCUAGUUAGUGUAAAUAAGAUAAUACAUAUAUUGUGUAUACUUCCUGUUGUUGUUGUUGUUGUUCUCUGUUCUAGCAUUUUCUGCUGACUGUGAGACGGUUCAAACUGUACAUAUUAUAAGCAUUAGUCAUUUCAGAGGAGAUUUGACCUAGCUGCAAAACCUCCAUUGUGCCCAAAUACAAAUGCAGAACCCUCUCUUCUUCAAACUCCUGUAAUCUGCCUUGUUUUUUUGAGUGUAAACGUUUUGUAAGCGUCUAAUCACGAGGAUCUGAUAGUUUUUUUAAUCUCCACUCCUGUUUUUACAUGUGGCCAUUGAAAGAACAAAAGGUUAUUUUGGGCUAUUAUAUAAAAGAUUAAAAUUAUGAUCGUACCUAAUUGUUUAAUUUCUAUUUUUAUAAACAAUGUACACGUUUGUAUAAACAGUAUUUUCAUUAAACACUGAAAAGACAUCUCUAGCAAUGUUUCUUUGACAACCACUUUCACUUCAAGAUGGGUAUUGUGGCAUUGUAGCCAUCUCUCCAAAGAUGAAAGUCUCUGUAAGUAUAGUGAAAGAGUGUAUGCAUUUUUCAACAUGGUUACUCUUAUCCAUGUAGGCUACUGCGCUUUAUUUUAAUUGUUGAAACAGCACAAUAUGCGCAUAUAUCCUCUGGUAUGUUGUGUGCCUCCGCAUAUCGUAUAAAUAAUCAUGGUGGGCUGCCAUGGCCAAAAAUGCCAGGGCCGAUUUCUUGUCCCAGUCCAGCCCUGCUACUACGCCUGCAUGAAUGUGAUGUGAUUAUUAUUGUUGCAAAGCCUGGUUCAGCUUAAAUCCUCUGUAAAACAUGAAUGAAUACAGCAAAAGAAAAAUAUUUUAACUUUCUUUUAGUGUCUAGUGUGAUAGUCAGACACAACUGAAAAAAAACAGAUAUAAAUCUAUGAAUAAAUAACAAUUUAUAAAAAAAGCCACAGUG
rnacentral:lncRNA from 1 species